rnacentral:rRNA from 1 species
AGCUCCAAUAGCGUAUAUUAAAGUUGUUGCGGUUAAAAAGCUCGUAGUUGGAUUUCUGCCGAGGACGACCGGUCCGCCCUCUGGGUGAGUAUCUGGCUCGGCCUGGGCAUCUUCUUGGAGAACGUAGCUGCACUUGACUGUGUGGUGCGGUAUCCAGGACUUUUACUUUGAGGAAAUUAGAGUGUUUACGGCAGGCAAUCGCCUUGAAUACAUUAGCAUGGAAUAAUACUAUAGGACAUUGGUUCUAUUUUGUUGGUUUCUAGAACUAAGGUAAUGAUUAAUAGGGAUAAUUGGGGGCAUUCGUAUUAACACGUCAGAGGUGAAAUUCUUGGAUUGUGUUACGACGAACUACUGCGAAAGCAUUUGCCAAGGAUGUUUUCA